rnacentral:sRNA from 1 species
GCCGGGCGCAGUGGCACGUGCCUAUGAUCCCAGCGGCUCAGGAGGCUGAGGCAGGAGGAUCGCAAGUUGGAGGCCAGCCUCGGCAACUUAGGGAGGCCCUAAGCAUCUCAGUGAGACCCUGUCUCUA